GCGCAAAAGAAUCAGAAGUUAAACGCAAAGGUAUCGCGGCUCACGCAACAGCAAGCAGCAGCUUUUACUGUAACCGCUCGGAGUUUCCCCGCGAAUGCAAGAGGAACCCGACGUCUCGAGCAGAAUGAAUGGUUAUCAAGGCACCGGAAACAGCGCUAGAGCGAAGGAAGCUGUUAAAAGAUGCUGUGUUGGGAGUCUUUUAACCUAGCCUGGUUCUUCUGGCGACUUGGCAGAGCUCAACCACGGAAGUCAGACCACUAUGGGCCGAAGCUGACCGAUAAAGGUCCAGACAUGAAGGAGACAGCGUCUUGUCUGUGGCAUCUCACAAUGAGAAGAGCUUUCAGCGUGUCGCGAGGUAAUUACUCUCCUCGAGGGAGGGCGAAAUCUGUUUAUUGUAAUUAUGUCAGAGAAAUGAAGAAGCAUGCUUGUGAGAUCCUCAAACGUUGUCUCAACAUAUUUGGGGGGAAAUUUUCCUGAGUUAUGUGUCUACAUAAUACCCCAACAUCACAUUCCCAGCCAGCUAUCACAUUCACUUGUGUUUAGACCGUCAGGAUAAUGAUGUGCUAACGCUUGUGAAACUGUAUCGUACUGUGUAUGUGUGUGUGUGGGUCUACAAUGAAACCCGUGGCCCCAUACACUCGACGGCGACCGUUCCAUCCACACAAUAGAAAAAUAUCCUGCUUCUCUCCAUAACAACAGCCCUGCUGAAGUGGCAGGAUUAGAGCAUGCCAGCCCCGGCCAGGGGUUGCCAUGGGAAAGAACCUCCCUUAUUCUGGAUCUGUUUUCCAUUUACCCCGCCGGUCGGGGAUCGAGGUUUUAUGUGCUUACACUAUCAAUGUUUGGCCCAUUAAUUCACAUCUGCAAUUAUAAUGUCCAAUUAGAGGCCAGGUGGGCUCGCCUUUGUGUUAUGAAGUCAGAGGGGGUUGGAAAAUAGCAUAAUUUUAGACUGAAAGGGGCAUCGGUUUGUAUUGUGAUUAUUUUGUGCCCACGGGCUAACGGGUUAAUAGCAAGUAGGUGAUAGUAGGGUAGUAAAGGUUGCAAAAAAAAAUUAAAGAGCGAGUCACAACAGGAACACCAGUAUUGAGGGUCUGGAACACCACAUGAAUGUACAGUAAUGUUCAGUAGAGAAAUCGCAGCUCUAACAAAAGUUAACCAUGGUUUUACAACAGUAACCGUGGUCUAACUAUGAAAAACAAUAUUAACUACAAAAAUAAACAUAGUUUUACUUCAGUAAUCA
ensembl:lncRNA